UAGUCUCUCCAGUAAUGCAGCUAACGCAUUAAGCAUCCCGCCUGGGGAGUACGGUCGCAAGAUUAAAACUCAAAGGAAUAGACGGGGACCCGCACAAGCGGUGGAGCAUGUGGUUUAAUUCGAAGCUACACGAAGAACCUUACCUAGGCUUGACAUUGAGAGAAUCCGCUAGAAAUAGUGGAGUGUCUGGCUUGCUAGACCUUGAAAACAGGUGCUGCACGGCUGUCGUCAGCUCGUGUCGUGAGAUGUUGGGUUAAGUCCCGCAACGAGCGCAACCCCCUUUCUUAGUUGCUAACAGGUUAUGCUGAGAACUCUAAGGAUACUGCCUCCGUAAGGAGGAGGAAGGUGGGGACGACGUCAAGUCAUCAUGGCCCUUACGCCUAGGGCUACACACGUGCUACAA
rnacentral:rRNA from 1 species